UGGGGAAUAUUGGGCAAUGGGCGCAAGCCUGACCCAGCAACGCCGCGUGAAGGAAGAAGGCUUUCGGGUUGUAAACUUCUUUUCUCAGGGACGAAGCAAGUGACGGUACCUGAGGAAUAAGCCACGGCUAACUACGUGCCAGCAGCCGCGGUAAUACGUAGGUGGCAAGCGUUAUCCGGAUUUACUGGGUGUAAAGGGCGUGUAGGCGGGAUCGCAAGUCAGAUGUGAAAACUGGAGGCUCAACCUCCAGCCUGCAUUUGAAACUGUGGUUCUUGAGUACUGGAGAGGCAGACGGAAUUCCUAGUGUAGCGGUGAAAUGCGUAGAUAUUAGGAGGAACACCAGUGGCGAAAGCGGUCUGCUGGACAGCAACUGACGCUGAGGCGCGAAAGCGUGGGGAGCAAACAGGAUUAGAUACC
rnacentral:rRNA from 1 species